rnacentral:lncRNA from 1 species
AAUAUUUUAAUAUUCAAUUACAAUAUAAGGUGGUAGAAUGGUUAAGAUAUUACCAUUAGAACAACAAGUCCCAUUGUGCUCCUUCCUAAAUGUACCUAAAAUUUGAAAUAAACAUAAAGAACUAAGAUUUGAAAUACACUUAAUUUUUCCAAGCUAUGCUCCUUCUUUGUAUGUCUAAAAUUUAAAAUAAAAUUAAAGAGCUUAAAUUUGGAACCCACCUAAUUUUGCCAAAUUGGGCUCCUUUCUUGCAUAUCUAAAAGUUCAAAUAAAACUGAAGAACUCAAGUUUGGAACCAACUUAAUUUUGCCAAGUCGUGCUCCUUUUUUUUUUUUGUCUAAAAUUUCAAAUAAUUUAAAGAGCUAAAGUUUAGAACUUACCAAGAUUACUCUUUAUAUUUGAAGAUGUACUUCAAUUCUACUCUUAUCCUUUGGAUGUGGCAACCAACCUAAAGAGGACUAUAAAAUAGGUAAAUAAAUUUUGUCGUAAGUUACUGGUUGGUGUCACGGACACAAAAUACAGACUUGAAAUCUAACAAGAAGUUCAAGAAGAAGUGGCAGAACUAGAUUAAACAGAUGAGUACAAGAACAACACCAGAAAGGUGAGCUAGAACUCCAAGAGAUGUG